UACGUAGGGGGGCUAGCGUUGUCCGGAUUUAUUGGGCGUAAAGGAGCGUGUAGGCGCCAGGUAGGUCCGUUGUGAAAACUCGAGGCUCAACCUCGAGACGUCGGCGGAAACCCUCUGGCUAGAGUCCGGAAGAGGAGAGUGGAAUUCCUGGUGUCAGCGGGUGAAAAUGCGCAGAUAUCAGGAGGAACGACCGGUGGCGAAGGCGGGUCUCUGGGCCGAUACUGACGCUG
rnacentral:rRNA from 1 species